CUGACCUGUGACAUUCCUCUGCUGCCACCCCAUCCUGGAGCAAGGAGUCUUUCUCAGACCAGCACAGCUCUGCUCUGAUCAGCCCAAUCACCCCCGCUGUCUUUCUGAAAACGAGCACCUUGAAGCCCAUCCUUCUCCUUACACCUCAGCACCCAGAACAGGAUUCAGGGAACAGAUGGGUUGGCCUUGGGGAAGAGACUCAAACUAGGGGUGAUGGACAGAAGUGGGAUGAGCUUAUUCCUGCUGCCCCAGAGCUCCAACCCCAGAGCAGAGGACAAGGAAGGAGGGGCACAAAGGGAUCCAGGUAAUGUAGUGUGAAGAGCACUAGACUGGAAGGAGUUCAAAGACCAUGAACUAGCUGGCGGACAAUGGGCAUGCCAGACUCUGCAAGCUCUGGACUCUGUCUGAAAUGUAAGGUAAUACUCCCCUUUCUGUCCACUUCACAGAUUUGUGGCAGGUUUAGGAAGAUGAUGAACAGGGCGAGCACUUCUGGCUGUGGCUCCCUUAAUCAGUGGGGCUGUGGCCAAUACUUACUUGUCUACCAGGCCCUUGUGCUGGAGGAUGCUGUAUAGCUCCCGGGCUGUCUCGGGCCCCUGCAGUUUCUGCCCAUUCAGCAACUCUUUCUCCAGCUGCUCAAUGGACUGUGCAGAAAACAGGA
rnacentral:lncRNA from 1 species